UAUCAGCAACUAUGUUGAACAAAGCCGCCCUUGCUAAUUGUCACAUGCCAUUGUCAUUGUUAUUAUUAUCAAUAAUAUCGCAUUGCGCUUCAUCAGCACUUUAUCGCAAUCCAUACUCUAAUUUUCCAAAAUUUUUAUUUUUAACAGCAUUCGUUACGGAAAAAUUUAUAAUAUCACCCAAUUUAAGUUUCGUAUUUUGCAAAUUUUAGAUAUAUUAUGAAGUCAUUAAGUUUAUUUAUAUAUGUGCAUACUAAUUGAAGGACCUAUAAAAAACGCUUCGUUUGGACUAAAAGCUCGUAGAACUUACUGAAACAUAAUGAUGUUCAGAGCUGCAAGCUUACUGCUGUUUUUAGUGAUUGCAUUGCUUUGCUGCAAAAACGCAGUUUUUGCUGAAGAAUGUGUUCGACACGCUAACGAUGCCGCCUUGGAUUCCAAUCUAAGCGAGGAUCUCCGCUCAGGUGGAGGAAAAUAAUGGUGUUUUAUUUUCCAAUCCAGGACAUUUGGAAACGCUAAGUCCAUUUAAAAUGUGAAAUAAAAAAUUAUUUCGAAA